ensembl:lncRNA
AUGAAAAGUCAACGGAUCACCAAAGUCAUCACGGCUUAUCCUUCGGGGAAAAGGAAUGUCUGUACAACAUUUCAUGGCCAUCCAUCCAGGUGGAUAAACCUGCCAACACAAAAUAACCCAGGGCAUCUGCCUCCCUGGAACCAUGACACUAGAGUGGCUGAAAAUCUCCUGUCUGUAACUGUUCAUCUACUUUCUCCGUCCUUCAUCCAUCACCGUUCAUGUUCUGUUCGCCAAUCCUCCACCGUCUCCCUUCUCCUCCCUAGAAAAGCCCUCUCUGCAGCUGGUGGCAAUUCCAGAAUACCCAGUUGCUGCAGGUCGAAGAGUCAACCUGCAAUGCCGUGCUUUCACUGUGCAAGACUCUGUCGGGUUGUCAUGGCAACGCUUAAGAAAUCAGACUUGGCUUCCAGCGGGAGUUGGUGGGCAUCUGACCCUUACCGAGCCAGAGCAGAGCGGGCUUUACCGCUGCCUUACCGCUGCCGAGAGCCGCUUUUCUCAAAACCACACAGUCUAUAUCGUCGCCACGCACACGACAGGUUUUCCUGGAUCUGAACAACCACCAAAGGAAGAUUUGCCACACGCUGAAUGUGACGUGUACGUAAAUUACACCUGCACCAGUAGUGACUACACUGACCUUAACCCAACCACAGUGAUUGAGGACGAUGUGUACUCAAAUCUAUCGUGAACGUGGAUGUGAAGGUGGAGAUCUGAGCAUUUGGUUCAGCUGGUGAAUAUCUGCAGAGAAAGCUCAGCAUUCCCAUCAAGCCUGAAUCACGAAGUUUAUGUUUUUAUUAGUAGCCUGAUUUGACACAACGUGAAUGUGAAAUAUAUUCAACUAUUCCAACAAAACAGCAAUGGGACAUUCCUUUUCUUCAUUCAUGUGAUUUUGAUAAAAACCUGUAAUUUGCUACAGUUCUGUGCGUCUCAUGAAGCAUGCUCUUGAGAUACGGAGAUGUCUCUCGGUUUGUUGAUGUGUAAGACACAGUCUUUUUAUUUUAAUUGUAUCAUAUGAAUAAAAUAAAAUUCAAAUCACAAAAAUUGUCUGUGGAGUAAAAAUGUUUAAAAUUAUAUUACAAACAAAUUUGAGGACCAUACAAAGUAAAAGCAAAAUACAUACAAAAUGCCUCAUAACUCACUUUUGCAACAGCAGGUAAACUGGCAGUAAGAAUAGCGUAUGAUAGAGUAGAACGGCAGAGAGCAAAAAGUCUUGUUAUUCUGACUCAGUUUUUACUCUUUGACAUAAUAUACAUAAUACUGGAUGCCAGAGGGGAAACGUAGCUUAAGCGUCAUUGCUUCUGUUCCAUGGUUUCGCAAUACAAGAAAUAACCCGUCAAUGAAAAGCAAUAAAAACUGUCUCAUUUGAUGAGGGAUAAGAAUCUCACAUAUUCUACAGAUGUCUGAAUGUCGCCUACUGAAUUGAAAUGUUUGUGUAAUCUGCAGUGGGACGUUGCACUUUUGACCCCCAAAAGAUUAAGAUCUGUACUUCGCAUCCUACUAAACAAACAAAAGUCUUGUCAAGCUAAAUUUUCCAUGAUGAAUUUCCUUUUCCUUUUGUACAACUAAAACAUUUUCUUCCUCCUCACACAUGCAAGGCAGGGGGACUGAUGCAAUUCAUAUACUGUGUGUGGAAAUAAACUGUCAGAUUCUU